AUUUUGUUUAUAUUUUUUACUAUGCAUUUUAGAAGAAGAAUAUGCCUCAAAAUAACACUCAGAUUCAAGUAGACUUUUACUAUUGUACUUAACUACUUAUACAGUAAUAAAGAACUAGCUAAAACUCAUUAAGGCAUUAUUCGGGGUUUACAGAAAGCCUUCUCCAAGUCAAUGAAAACCAUAUGUAAUUCCUUCUGCUCUCUAUACCGCUCCAUCACCUGUCUUAUUGAGAAAGCUUCCAUGGUUGACCUUAUGGGCAUGAAACCAAAUUGGUUUAUACUUCAUAGAGAUUCUCGUUAUUCCUCUCGGACGAUGCUCGAUUAUCUCCCAUAGCUUCAUAGUGAAAGGAUCAAGUUGCCCAAGAGGAGGGUGAAUUGGGCCAAUCUAAAAUUUCUUGUGACAAUUAAAUCCUAUUGGAUGGUCCACCCUGCCCCUUGUGCCUAAGAGUGUUGUCUAUUUUACACAAGUUUUACACCCUAGGUUUCAAUCCUAUUGUAGCAUGACAUUCUAGUAAUGUAAAGGCAAGUGUUGAAUUGACCAAAUGUAAAUGCCCAAAGUAAAAUAAGGGUUAGAAAUAUGGAGAUGUUUUGUUGAGGUAUCGAAGAGUUGGCAUUCUCCGCUAGUUCUCGUUGGAGCACCCGCAUAAGGGUGCUGCUCUCCUUGAUCCACAUAAGGACAAAAUGUUGUCUACGGUUUGAUUCUUUAUCACUCUGGCACGGUGAAUCACCCAUAACCAUUUACAUAUUGAGUUGAUCCAUCCACAAUCUCCAUCAGGCGAUCACCAAACUCCUGAUUAUCAGUAAGUUGUCUAUAUGAUGCUGAUCACCAAGAUUAAUAAGCACAAACUCUCACUUGACCUAACCAAGGCUAAUGAGAACGGUGGAUGCACAUUUGCUUCUCUCAACUCGAUACACUAAUAAAGCACUAAUCUCAU
rnacentral:lncRNA from 1 species